CCUACGGGUGGCAGCAGUAGGGAAUAUUGCUCAAUGGGGGAAACCCUGAAGCAGCAACGCCGCGUGGAGGAUGAAGUUUUUCGGAUUGUAAACUCCUUUUGUUAGAGAAGAUAAUGACGGUAUCUAACGAAUAAGCACCGGCUAACUCCGUGCCAGCAGCCGCGGUAAUACGGCGGGUGCAAGCGUUACUCGGAAUCACUAGGCGUAAAGAGAGCGUAGGCGGGAUAGCAGGUCAGAUGUGAAAUCCUAUGGCUUAACCAUAGAACUGCAUUGGAAACUGUUAUUCUAGAGUAUGGGAGAGGUAGGUGGAAUUCUUGGUGUAGGGGUAAAAUGCGUAGAGAUCAAGAGGAAUACUCAUUGCGAAGGCGACCUGCUAGAACAUAACUGACGCUGAUGCGCGAAAGCGUGGGGAGCAAACAGGAUUAGAUACCCUUGUAGUC
rnacentral:rRNA from 1 species